AUUUUUAAUUUAAUCUUCUUAAUUGUCCAUGUUUAUUGUUUCACGUUUCCAAGCAAAAAUCUGAAAAGCCACUUUCCAAGUUUCCAAAAUAUGAAACGAGACUGGAAUGGAAAAAUGAAAAGAAGGCACCAUUUAGUAUUCAAGAGGCAUGAAGAAAAAAAAAUCCUAAACCAUUUCCUCUUCUCAUCAUUUUCUAUGCAUAUUCAAUGUUCUCUUCUCUUAUAUCUACCUUUUUACGCCAUUUGAAGCCUAACAUCAAUAUAUCUGUCCAUCCAUUUUUGUCCUUCAAUGAUUAACUUAAGCUCACUGAUGUUUCGAUGAGUGACUAUAUUGGAGUUGCUGGAACCAAAAUUCUUCACUGCUGGGAGAUACUCUAUGAAGAGGUUUUGGAAAUCUCAGUGUCCUAUUGUUGAGAAGCUGACAAACUCAAUCAUGAUGCACCGGAGGAACAAUAGGAAGAAGCUCAAGGAUGUUGGUAUCAUCAAGCAUGCUAUGAAAACUAAUGCUCUUAGUGAUGAUGAAACAUAUCAAAGUUGUCAUCUGAGUUGAUUGAGUCCUACGACAAGGUAGAUGUACCGAAUAAUUAGGGAAAUCAUAAUAUACAACGCUAUUAUUUUUGUUGGUCUGCAGAAUCACCAGAAUAGAAGUGAUGUGGAGAAGUUAUACGAGUUAAGAGAAAGAAGUAAGUAAGGAAGGUGAAUAUUCUGCAUUGCAGAAAAUUGCUGCUUUAAUCAUAUCUAUGAAGGAUCUUAAGGAGCUUUUGAGCCUCCCAAAAGAAGGAUUUGAUGAGUCUGUUACUCAACAACAAUUGGAUGAGAAACAUGUUUGUUGACCCAUUGUGGAUGCCUUUCCAAAGAUGUAUAGAGUUCCUGAAACAUGAGGGCGUUGCUGGAAUUAGUCAUAACAGUUUACUAUUUUUCAAAAUUGAGCCAGUUCAAGAUGGUUGAAUGACCGCAAUAUCCCUCAGUUGCUAAGGUGGAUUAGAGGUCCAUUGAUUUUGCUAAAUUUUCGAGUAGCUGUGAGACUGAUUGGGGUAUGCCCAAAUAAAUGUAGUAUGGCUGCAAACUAUAUGAUACUGACACUCACUUGCAAAUCUGGAAAUAAGAGGUCCCAUUUGUUUUGAUUAAACAAAUUUUAGAAUUUUUA